rnacentral:rRNA from 1 species
ACUUAUAUUCUGUAGCAAGGUUAACCGAAUAGGGGAGCCGGAGGGAAACCGAGUCUUAACCGGGCGUUAAGUUGCAGGGUAUAGACCCGAAACCCGGUGAUCUAGCCAUGGGCAGGUUGAAGGUUGGGUAACACUAACUGGAGGACCGAACCGACUAAUGUUGAAAAAUUAGCGGAUGACCUGUGGCUGGGGGUGAAAGGCCAAUCAAACCGGGAGAUAGCUGGUUCUCCCCGAAAGCUAUUUAGGUAGCGCCUCGUGAAUUCAUCUCCGGGGGUAGAGCACUGUUUCGGCUAGGGGGCCAUCCCGGCUUACCAACCCGAUGCAAACUGCGAAUACCGGAGAAUGUUAUCACGGGAGACACACGGCGGGUGCUAACGUCCGUCGUGAAGAGGGAAACAACCCAGACCGCCAGCUAAGGUCCCAAAGUCAUGGUUAAGUGGGAAACGAUGUGGGAAGGCCCAGACAGCCAGGAUGUUGGCUUAGAAGCAGCCAUCAUUUAAAGAAAGCGUAAUAGCUCACUGGUCGAGUCGGCCUGCGCGGAAGAUGUAACGGGGCUAAACCAUGCACCGAAGCUGCGGCAGCGACGCUGAUGCGUUGUUGGGUAGGGGAGCGUUCUGUAAGCCUGUGAAGGUGGCCUGUGAGGGUUGCUGGAGGUAUCAGAAGUGCGAAUGCUGACAUAAGUAACGAUAAAGCGGGUGAAAAGCCCGCUCGCCGGAAGACCAAGGGUUCCUGUCCAACGUUAAUCGGGGCAGGGUGAGUCGACCCCUAAGGCGAGGCCGAAAGGCGUAGUCGAUGGGAAACGGGUUAAUAUUCCCGUACUUGGUGUUACUGCGAAGGGGGGACGGAGAAGGCUAUGUUGGCCGGGCGACGGUUGUCCCGGUUUAAGCGUGUAGGUGUGUGUUCCAGGUAAAUCCGGUUCACUUUAACACUGAGGCGUGAUGACGAGGCACUACGGUGCUGAAGCAACAAAUGCCCUGCUUCCAGGAAAAGCCUCUAAGCAUCAGGUAACAUCAAAUCGUACCCCAAACCGACACAGGUGGUCAGGUAGAGAAUACCAAGGCGCUUGAGAGAACUCGGGUGAAGGAACUAGGCAAAAUGGUGCCGUAACU